UACGUAGGGUGCGAAGCGUUGUCCGGAAUUAUUGGGCGUAAAGAGCUUGUAGGCGGUUUGUCGCGUCUGCUGUGAAAUUUCGGGGCUCAACCCCGAACUUGCAGUGGGUACCGGGCAGACUAGAGUGUGGUAGGGGAGACUGGAAGUUCCUGGUGGUAGCGGUGAAAUGCGUAGAGUAUCAGGAGGAACACCGAUGGCGAAGGCAGGUC
rnacentral:rRNA from 1 species